AUGCUUGCUUCAGCAGCACAUAUAUUAAAAUUAGAACAAUACAGAGAAGAUUGCCAUGGCCCCUGUGCAAGAAUAACAACGAAACUCCUAAAACAUUCAGCAUUAAA
rnacentral:snRNA from 1 species